CUGAUCCUGCCGUGUUCGCAAAGGUAUAUUGGCUCUGAGGAACAUCAAAGACAUUGGGAAUCCGGCUUUGGGCGUGGCGCAAAUGCCCCGGAAGGGGACUUGUAAAGCGUCCAAGAGGAUACCCACCUGGGGAAUAGUUUCAGGGCGAUAAGCCUGGCGGCGCGGCGGGGAUUUU
rnacentral:other from 1 species